CAGUAGCCGCGGGAAUACGGAGGAUCCAAGCGUUAUCCGGAAUCAUUGGGUUUAAAGGGUCCGUAGGCGGUCUUGUAAGUCAGUGGUGAAAGCCCAUCGCUCAACGGUGGAACGGCCAUUGAUACUGCAGGACUUGAAUUAUUGGGAAGUAACUAGAAUAUGUAGUGUAGCGGUGAAAUGCUUAGAGAUUACAUGGAAUACCAAUUGCGAAGGCAGGUUACUACCAAUUGAUUGACGCUGAUGGACGAAAGCGUGGGUAGCGAACAGGAUUAGAUACCCCGGUGUCCCUGUCUCUUAUACA
rnacentral:rRNA from 1 species